GUCAAUGGUAACACCUUACUGAAGUAAGAGACCUGAAGCGCAAGCUUCAGGUCUCUUAUCUUUAGCAGGGAAGCUGGGGAAAUCCAGCUUUCAUUGUCUAGACUAAGCAAUCCAGUCGGCUUCGGCCAACAGGAUUGCUACGUUAUCCAUGUAUCACACCCAAGGAUGAUGCCCAAGUCUUUGGCUCUGUG
rnacentral:sRNA from 25 species